rnacentral:misc_RNA from 1 species
CCACUAUGUGCUUAAGGGGAUGUGCUACAUCACCACCACCAGCAUGCUUGACAAACUCAGCUGGGGAGAGAAAGCUUCCAUGGCAAACACAUACAAUUCUCACCUCCUCACCUUUCCUAUACCUGUAGAGAAAACCUUCUAUUCUUUUUCCAUUGGGGCCAUCUCCCUUUGUAGACACACAUGGCAUGUCUUCCAUUAAAUUCCUCACCAUCCCCUUCGCUCCAUUCUUUACUGUUGGUUCACUAGGUCUGCUAUUUUGCAUUGCAACACCUGCAGGUCUACUCGAUUUUUCAUUCAUUGUUGAUUUAGGGCUGACCACCAAUUUCUGCUCACACUCAGACAAAGACUGAACACUCACAGGGCUUCUUGCCUCACUGCAUUUUUUUAUUCCUUGAACAGGCUGGCUCUCGGAUUCUGACCCAGAUGACCCACUUCCCAGUGAUCCAAUCGAUCCUUGCGAUGAUGGUGCUAUCACUAACGCUCGUGGUAAAAGCCCUUCUGCUCCAGCCCCAAACAACCCAUUGAUAUUCUUGACAAACUGCUUCUGGCGAUGACAAUGAUUCUUGCUUAUAGUGUGAUUUUCUCUGUCAUCUUCCUCGCAGCUCUCUUUUCCAAAACCCGUAUUUCUAUCCUUCUGUGCCUUCAAAAUCCUUUGUUUCUCUGAUCGUUUCCUUUUAGCUUCCAUUCUCCUAAGCAUCUGCAUCUCCUUCCUCUUCCUCCACUCCUCAUCUGUCUCUGUUGGCAGAGAACAAGUCCUUACAAGAUUUUUACUUACCAAAGGUACCAUAAAAGCACUGCCAUU